rnacentral:rRNA from 1 species
AUUGAACGCUGGCGGCAGGCCUAACACAUGCAAGUCGGGCGAGUGGCGGACGGGUGAGUAAUGUAUGGGGAUCUGCCUGAUGGCGGGGGAUAACUACUGGAAACGGUAGCUAAUACCGCAUACCAUCAGAUGAACCCAUAUGGGAUUAGCUAGUAGGUAAGGUAACGGCGUACCAAUGCGACGAUCCCUAGCUGGUCUGAGAGGAUGACCAGCAACACUGGGACUGAGACACGGCCCAGCCUCCUACGGGAGGCAGCAGUGGGGAAUAUUGCACAAUGGGCGCAAGCCUGAUGCAGCCAUGCCGCGUGUAUGAUGAAGGCCUUCGGGGUGUAAAGUACUUUCAGUCGGGAGGCGUUACCGACAGAAGAAGCACCGGCUAACUCCGUGCCAGCAGCCGCGGUAAUAC